rnacentral:rRNA from 1 species
GAGUAACGCUGGCGGUAUGCCUAACACAUGCCAAGCCGAACGAAAGUUUAUACUUUAGUGGCGGACGGGUGAGUAAUACGUGAGAAUCUACCUUUAGGAAGGGAAUAACAAUUGGAAACGAUUGCUAAUGCCCUAUAUGCUUAGCAGUGAAACAGAUUUAUCUGCCUGAAGAUGAGCUCGCGCCUGAUUAGCUAGUUGGUAGAGUAAAAGCCUACCAAGGGCAACGAUCAGUAGCUGGUUUGAGAGGACGAUCAGCCACACUGGGACUGAGACACGGCCCAGACUUCUACGGAAGGCAGCAGUGGGGAAUUUUCCGCAAUGAGCGAAAGCUUGACGGAGCAAUACCGCGUGAGGGAAGAAUGCCUGUGGGUUGUAAACCUCUUUUUUUAGGGAAGAAAAUAUGACGGUACCUAAAGAAUAAGCAUCGGCUAACUCCGUUGCCAGCAGCCG